GAUGAAGAACGUAGCAAAAUGCGAUAAGUAAUGUGAAUUGCAGAAUUCAGUGAAUCAUCGAAUCUUUGAACGCACAUUGCGCCCGCUGGUAUUCCGGCGGGCAUGCCUGUUCGAGCGUCAUUUCAACCCUCAAGCCCCCGGGUUUGGUGUUGGGGAUCGGCUCUGCCUUCUGGCGGUGCCGCCCCCGAAAUACAUUGGCGGUCUCGCUGCAGCCUCCAUUGCGUAGUAGCUAACACCUCGCAACUGGAACGCGGCGCGGCCAUGCCGUAAAACCCCAACUUCUGAAUGUUGACCUCGAAUCAGGUAGGAAUACCCGCUGAACUUAAGCAUAUCAAUAAGCGGAGGA
rnacentral:misc_RNA from 1 species